CCCAUUUUAUUCAAUAAUUUGUACAUGAUUUUUGCUUUACUUUUCUUCCGUUUCUGUUUUAAGUGGCUUCCAACCCAAUGCUUGCAAUACAACAGAAUGAUCUACAGUAUGUUAUUGCUCAUAUCCAAAAUAGUCCGAGCAGCUCUAUUUUGUAGUUUUUGGAGUCUUUGAUUGCGUUUGUCAUUGUUUCCAUAGCAACUACAGUUAGUAGUUUUUGAAAAAUUCAUAAAUCUUUAGUUAUUGUGUUAUGCCAGUCAGAUGCUCUUUGUUUUUUAAACAAGUAAUAACUGUCCAGAAAAUCAUAUCCAAAUCAGAAAAUCUUCGAUUUCUACAGCACCUGAGCAGAUUUCAGCUUGGGUAGCGCUGAUGCAGGCAGAAAUUUCAACCCUGGAGAUAUGGUUAAAGUGUUUAACUCAGACUUGUUGUUAGGUGUGAUGACUGUUUUAUUUUUUAAGGCUGUUCAACCAAUAAACAAGUGAAAAAGGUAACUUGUGAGGAACGUCCAUCUACAAGUGUGCCAGUGAGCUCUUUUGCCAAUUAUAGAAAAAGCAAAGGUAAGGAAUGGAAAAACAAAGUGUCAAAGUCAGGCGACAAUAAGAAAAAGAAGAUAGAAAAUGUUGCGAUUUAUGUGGGCCUCAUGGAAUGGUGCGAAAAGGAGCAGAAACUCAAAGGACGACGAGGAAAGAAGAUACCAAUACGUGUCGCAAUAAAUUCCACUUACACUAUACUGCGUAGAGAAGCUGAGCAUAAAUGGAAGAAUUUUCACAGUGAUCUGUAUGACGAGAGUCAACAAUACCACCUAUUGUAUGAAGAUGGACAGCAGGCAGUCUUCAUACCCGGUUCAGACAAGGAGCCAUUCACAUUAAGCAGAUACCACGAGGAAUUAGGAAAAG